GCAGUUGCAGGUUUCUGGCCAUCAAUGGUGUUGUCUGCCCUACCUCCGAUGUUCCUCCGGUCUCUUCCUUCCUCGAAAACCAUCCAGGUGCCUAUACGACUUCUCGAACGCACAACAAUGCGUCAUGUUUAUUAUUUUGGCAGAGACACUUGUGCAAACUUGCAGAUUCCGCAAGAAUUCUCUAUGAAUCGAGACUAGAGCUCCUGUUUGGGCCAUAAAUUACUAAAUUCCCCAAGCCACUGUUAUCGUCAUCAUCGUUUUCUUCAUUAUGGGAAUCCAAAAUUCCGACGCUUGUCAAUGGCAUUGAAAGAAAGGAUGAACGAAGAAGAACUGGCGGUCACCACUCUUGUGAGCGGGAAUCCAAACAAAUGCAAUGUAGAUGAGGUUGAUGGGGAAGAGAGGGCUCUUAGGGUUCUUGAUGUGUACGUACAUGUAGUAAUUUACAUUCCGCCUACAUUUGGUGGUAGAGAAAACGGUGCUCGAUUGGCCGUCGUUGGUCGUGGAAGGGACGUAGCCAGAGCGAAGUUUUCAGACUGGGUAAAGCUUAGAAAGCGUUUGGAGAAGCUGCGACCUCCUUUGGUUAUCGAGCUUUUGUAGUCAAAUGAUGGUGACCGGAUACUAGAGGGAUGCAUCACGAACCUCUUCGUUGUGUGUCGCAAGGUGGGU